rnacentral:rRNA from 1 species
CCCUUAGAUGUUCUGGGCCGCACGCGCGCUACACUGAUGCAUUCAACGAGUCUAAAACCUGCUCUGAUAGGGGUGGGUAAUCUUUUGAAUGUGCAUCGUGAUUGGGAUAGAUGAUUGCAAUUUUUCAUCUUCAACGAGGAAUGCCUAGUAAACGCAAGUCAUCAGCUUGCAUUGAUUACGUCCCUGCCCUUUGUACACACCGCCCGUCGCACCUACCGAUUGAAUGACUCGGUGAAAAAUUGGGACUGUGAUUGAAAUUGCUUCAUUGCGAAUUUAAUUAUGGAAACUUUCUUUAACCUAGGCAUUUAGAGGAAGGUGAAGUCGUAACA